rnacentral:lncRNA from 1 species
GUAAGAGGCGCCCUCCUCCGCCGCCGCCGUGGCCUCCCGAGCGCGGGCUGGCGCGGGUGCGGGGCGGGGCGCGGCGGGUGGGUGCGCGCCGAGCCGGGCCGGGGCGGGGGCGCGCGGCAGUGGCCGCGCACGGAAGCUCGGGCGCUCGUGCCCGGCGGUGCGUUCGCGGCCUUGGCCCCCGCGCCGACCCCCGCCGCCGAGAGGACGGGAGAGCUGCGCCGCUGGCCCCCUGGCGUGCGCGGCCGGCGUCAGUCCCGGAGGCGUGGGCGGCCGCGCCGUGCGCUGCCCGGCGGCCCUGGUGCGGGAGGCCUGGUUCUGCGUCACCGCCCCUCCCUUCGUCUGCGUGGUUUGGUUCUUGGGACCUGGUAGAGGGUAGGCCGGCCCGGGGCGUUCCGUGUGCUGUCACUGCGUGGGAAAGGCUUCAGGACAGCGGGCCCUGUAGCGGGAUUCGGGACGCCGCCGUGCUCGGAGGCUUCGGCGGAUUGACGGCCGGGUCGGAGAGGGCAGGGAAGGCGGCGUCGUCGACCAUGCGAAGCGUGGAGGCAGAACAUGCUGGCAUCGUGUUGAUGAGGAUUCCAAUCUGCAUGGCAGACGCAGUCUCACUGUAACGCUCUGAAGCUCGAGGGCUGCAGGUCAUCCCAGGAAGGUGGUUUUGUCAUCAAACCUCAGGCAGUUUUGAAGCAAACCAGAUCAUCUCAGUGUCAUUAUUAUUCUACAGACCUCAAGACCACACCCAUCACUUUUCCAUAAGUCUUUUACAUUCCUGCAGUUAUCAUGAGAAAGCCCUGCUAAGUAUAACAGACCUAUGAAUGCUUUCAGUUCAGCUAGUGAGGUGUCAUAAUAAACACAUUUUUGAGUAUGGUUAUUGGUGCAUAUGGAUUGUUUUACUUGUAUUUCAGCAUUUGUGUAUUUCACAAUAUCUUGUAGCAUUUAGUCUGCUCCAAACAAUUUCCAACAUUGAAUGGCAGUGCUGGUAUUCCAUCCAAUAGGUUUCACCCCUGCCAAGAUCCUUACUGUAUUUCAAACCUAGUUCUAACAUCAGAUUGUUCCAUUUGGCUGUGUGACCAUUUUGUACCAUUCAACUAGUCAAAUAUGUACUCACAUUGUUUUCUUCAUCAUCUGAAUCAAGGGGGUCUGUAUUCCUUGUGUCUGUAUCGGUCAGUUCUUCCUCUAUUUAAUUGUCACAGGACCUUUGGCUCACAUGGCCUACAUCAAAGCCAUUAUCAUCUUCGUCAUCCGUACAUGAAAUCACCUGAUGAUUCACUUUUAACCUUUUCCAAAACUUGCAAAUCUGAUUUUUCAUGUGCCAUUGUACUGAACUGGGCUACUUCAACCAGAAAAAUCAAAAGAAAACUUUUUUAAAAACAAGGUCCUAAAUACACAGAAAUUUGACAGUGAGCAUUUUGUGGG